GCACACUAUUGUGAGAGCUCUUGUCGGCAACACGGAAAGAACCUUCUUAACACAAUGGAACAUACAGACAAACUUCAGCUUUAACUUUUACCCUCGGAUUCCUGUACAGAGUAACUGACUCCACCCACAAAUAACUUCCUGCUCUCUUGACGGCAACACGGAAAGAACCUUCAGAAUGGAACCUACAGGUCCUCAGUAACUGGAACAAAGGCAUGGACACAGGCACGGACGACUUCAGAUGUGACACAUCCGACCUCACCACAUGGGACUGCCCCAUUCUCUGUGGGCCCGGCAGAAGUCUCACUCACAGGCCACCUGGAGAGGGCAUCAGCAUUUCUGCACCCAGAUUUGCUGUAUUCAGAUGAAGAUUAUUAUCUGUUAAAACAGUAAAGGGAGACACAACAAGAUAUUCCCUAAACUUUUCCACUAUAGCCCAUUUUAAAGCCAGAAGUUCCAGUUUGAAUGAGCUGUAAUUUUUAUUGUUCCUUUCCAUUGGUUGGAGACUUCUACUUGCGUAGGAAAUUACUCUCUCCUUCCCCUCUUGGACCUGAGCCAAUACUGCUCCCAACCCUGUCUGGCUGGCAUCAGUGUACAAAAAAAUGGCAACUCAAAAUCAGCAUAUGCCAAUAUAGGUGCUUGUCGGAGACUCUCCUUUGAUUUAUUAAAUGCAAUGUCCUGUGCCUCUCCCCAUGCCCAACCAUCUGUUUUUCCUGUGGGCGGUCGAGUACGCCGCUUUGAUGUCCCCACACAACAUCGA